UUUGGAAGCAUUUCAGACAUUUUUAAACAUUUGAAGUUAAAAAAAAUCGGUAGGGACCAAAUUGGUCUUGACGGUGGGCCCUACUGAAGAAAAACACACAGGAAAGACAUCAGCAAAGCCCUACAGGCAGUGAUAUAGAUGAGCACUUCAAACAAAACCAAAAGGAGUACUGCAAAGGACUAUAACAUACACUGUAAUCCCACAUUUUGUUUGAACCUAUAAAAAGUUGUAUAUUGCACACAAAUCUCAGAAUAUCCCACAUAUUACACGCCAAUUUUGAGUGUGGAGAAUGGUUUUCAUGAAUUUGUAGAAUCAACUGGGAUCUUUCAGUUGUAUCAACUUUCUGAGCAACAGGUGGCCCAGGAAAGAAGAUUUGAUUGGAUUCCGCCAAAAUGCACUUUUUUCCACUCCUAAACUUGGGGAUUUCCCGCUCAUCCCACAGACGACAGAGAUAGAAGUCACGGACGGUUCAUGACACAAGAGAGCAAGACACAGACUGUUUAAAAUAGGAGCAAGACAGAAAAAAAGCCAAGGCUUUUUUGAGAGCUUCUCAGUGGAAAAAUUCUGCAGAUUCUGUAUGGCAUCCAGGACUGACACUCAACUCCAACAGACUUGGUGGCAAAGAAGUACUUCACUCUAGAUGUACUGAAUGCGGCUAUCCGAUCUUUUCCAUACUCAUUCACAGACAAAACUGAUCGGCCACAACAGAUUGAUGGCCUCCCAAACAAUGACUAUGCGUGUUAUCCUCUGCGACGGGGACAUCAGGAAGCUCAUGCUGGCUUCAAGGCCCAGUUCAGUGGACGAUUUGAUCACCUGUCUGAAAAUCACACUCUCACUUCAGUACAAUUUCACUUUACAGUUUAGAGACCCAGAAUUUGAUAAUGAACUUUGCAACCUCACUGAUGUGUCUGAACUCCCAGAUAAACCAACUGUGAAGAUAAUUCCUGUGCUUGAAUUGGUGGAGAUCGCAAGCGAAAAUUUGGAUGAUAGUGUAAGUACAGCCGAUACAGUGCUGCUGUCCACGUCAUCACAGCAGAUGAGAAAGCCAUGGCCUGAUGAGUUUUCCCUCCCCAAGUUCUCUGUAGAUGUAGAAUUUAGACUCCGACAAGGGAAUUUAAGCUACCUCAAGGAUGGAACAUACUUGACCGUUUCAAAAGAGUUGAAACAUGACAUUCUCCACAAGAUAGCUGAAACCCUAUAUGCAAGGUUCAAAGCAUACCCCCAAAAAAAGGACCUUAGAGCAGUAGCGAAGGCAUUAAUUGCAGCUCAUCCCUGUCUUCAAGAAACGGCAUCGCCAACUGGUUACGAUGGGUGGAUACAGAGCCUAGUGGAUAAGAUGGGUAACUACAGGUCAAAAAUGAGGGCCCUGGGACACGAAGAUGUCAAGGUGAAUUCUGGUAAACGUGGAAGACACUCUGUUGGUGGGGAGCCACCAAACAAGAGCAUCAAGAAACCGAAAAAAGGAGAAGUCAAUUUCCUACCCAAUUUUCCAGGCGGA